GACGAACCGAGCGAACGUUGUUCGGAAUCACUGGGCUUAAAGGGCGCGUAGGCGGGCGAUCAAGUCAGGGGUGAAAGCCCCCAGCUCAACUGGGGAAGUGCCUCUGAUACUGAUCGUCUCGAGGGGGAUAGGGGCGUGCGGAACUUCCGGUGGAGCGGUGAAAUGCGUAGAUAUCGGAAGGAACACCGGUGGCGAAAGCGGCGCGCUGGAUCCCUUCUGACGCUGAGGCGCGAAAGCCAGGGGAGCGAACGGG
rnacentral:rRNA from 1 species